rnacentral:lncRNA from 1 species
UUUUUUUUUUCUUCACCGCGAGGUUUGUUUUUGUUAACACUUGCUCGAUUGAAAUGUUUGAGACACAUGCGCUCUGCCAAAAACCCAGCAUGUCUUCCCAUUCAACCGGAGGCUGCAAAAGCUUCUAAUCUUUACAGGAGUCACCCAGAGGGAAGGCUCAGAAAUACCAGAGCUGAUGUUUGCGAUACUUUCAGGAUUACAAACACGCAGGAAACAGGCCAUCGCCUGUUCUCAUACAGCUGCAAAACAAAACAAAACAAACAAGACAAAACCAAACCAAACAAAACUUAUAGAGCCUUGUCACUUAUGAACCUGUUGUAAACUGCAACAGAAUAAUUAGGUUGCUGGUUCGGUUUCACUGCAAACCCAGGCUGGAUGCUGUGUGCCUUACAUCUCUGUGUGCCUCACAUCUCAGGCUCCGUCGUCCCUCCUCUCAAGUACGGCCACGUAUUCAAAGAGGACAAGCCCCACAUCACUGAGAUUAACGGGGACUGACUCUUCUGACCUUAAUAUGUUGUCAAAAACACCGCCUCCAGGAUCCUUUUAACUCUUCUCUGCAGGUGUAAGGCAUCUCCUAGGCAUUACCAGCGUUUUCAUUUCUUAUUGGCAAUGCAAUCUGCUGGUGAAGGAGGAGAGGGAGCACAGCACCAGGCAGAAGUGGCGCCCGGGCUGGGAGGCAUCCAGCAGGCAGGAGCAGGUGCCGUGGGAGCGUGCAGGCUCUUCUCAGCGUCAGGGUCAUGCGGAGGCUCUCUUCAUGCUGGUACUGAGAGAUGCUGGUGUGGUGAGGGACAACUGGGGGAGCAUUGCCUGGGCCCCUGCAGGACGGACGAACAUGGACAACGGGGGGGUCUGCUGCGGGCAUGGACGUGGUGCUGGGGACCAGCAAAGGCCUGUCCUGCCUUGGUGCUGAUGGAGGUCUCUGGAGCUGAAGCCAGUGAGCAUCCCAGGAUCAUCAGAGGAAGGAUGGCCUUUGGCUCCAGCAUGACGAUGGAAAACUCCUGGGAGCUGCUCUUGAAAUACUCUGAGGAAUGAAACACUGUGCUGCCGAUGUGCAUCUCCCUGCAAUGACCCCAAAAAACCUUUUCAUAUAACCGAGCAGGAAGCCAACACCCAGGGCCACCCUCAGCGCCAAAGGGAAGGGGUCUGAUGGUGAGGCCAUGGGGGCUGGAGACCCCCAGGGCUGAGGUCCCCCCAGCCUUCACCUCCACCUUACCCUGAUGGCUGCUGAGAGAGGGCGGGUGAAAUCUGCCCCCAAGGAUCCCAACAGAGGAAGCAAACAGCCUGGC